GAUGAACGCUGGCGGCGUGCUUAACACAUGCAAGUCGAACGAGAAGUGAAGACGGAAACCUUCGGGCGGAAGGCUUUAUUUCGAGUGGCGGACGGGUGAGUAACGCGUGGGUAACCUGCCUCAUACAGGGGGAUAACAGUUGGAAACGACUGUUAAUACCGCAUAAGACCACAGCACCGCAUGGUGCGGGGGUAAAAACUCCGGUGGUAUGAGAUGGACCCGCGUUCGAUUAGCCAGUUGGCGGGGUAACGGCCCACCAAAGCGACGAUCGAUAGCCGAUCUGAGAGGAUGACCGGCCACAGUGGGACUGAGAUACGGCCCAAACUCCUACGGGAGGCAGCAGUGGGGAAUAUUGCACAAUGGGGGAAACCCUGAUGCAGCGACGCCGCGUGAGUGAAGAAGUAUUUCGGUAUGUAAAGCUCUAUCAGCAGGGAAGAAAAUGACGGUACCUGAGUAAGAAGCCCCGGCUAACUACGUG
rnacentral:rRNA from 1 species